rnacentral:rRNA from 1 species
GACGAGGCACUACGGUGCUGAAGCAACAAAUGCCCUGCUUCCAGGAAAAGCCUCUAAGCAUCAGGUAACAUCAAAUCGUACCCCAAACCGACACAGGUGGUCAGGUAGAGAAUACCAAGGCGCUUGAGAGAACUCGGGUGAAGGAACUAGGCAAAAUGGUGCCGUAACUUCGGGAGAAGGCACGCUGACACGUAGGUGAAGUGAUUUACUCAUGGAGCUGAAGUCAGUCGAAGAUACCAGCUGGCUGCAACUGUUUAUUAAAAACACAGCACUGUGCAAACACGAAAGUGGACGUAUACGGUGUGACGCCUGCCCGGUGCCGGAAGGUUAAUUGAUGGGGUCAGCGCAAGCGAAGCUCCUGAUCGAAGCCCCGGUAAACGGCGGCCGUAACUAUAACGGUCCUAAGGUAGCGAAAUUCCUUGUCGGGUAAGUUCCGACCUGCACGAAUGGCGUAAUGAUGGCCAGGCUGUCUCCACCCGAGACUCAGUGAAAUUGAACUCGCUGUGAAGAUGCAGUGUACCCGCGGCAAGACGGAAAGACCCCGUGAACCUUUACUAUAGCUUGACACUGAACAUUGAGCCUUGAUGUGUAGGAUAGGUGGGAGGCUUUGAAGCGUGGACGCCAGUCUGCGUGGAGCCGGCCUUGAAAUACCACCCUUUAAUGUUUGAUGUUCUAACGUGGACCCGUAAUCCGGGUUGCGGACAGUGUCUGGUGGGUAGUUUGACUGGGGCGGUCUCCUCCUAAAGAGUAACGGAGGAGCACGAAGGUUGGCUAAUCCUGGUCGGACAUCAGGAGGUUAGUGCAAUGGCAUAAGCCAGCUUGACUGCGAGCGUGACGGCGCGAGCAGGUGCGAAAGCAGGUCAUAGUGAUCCGGUGGUUCUGAAUGGAAGGGCCAUCGCUCAACGGAUAAAAGGUACUCCGGGGAUAACAGGCUGAUACCGCCCAAGAGUUCAUAUCGACGGCGGUGUUUGGCACCUCGAUGUCGGCUCAUCACAUCCUGGGGCUGAAGUAGGUCCCAAGGGUAUGGCUGUUCGCCAUUUAAAGUGGUACGCGAGCUGGGUUUAGAACGUCGUGAGACAGUUCGGUCCCUAUCUGCCGUGGGCGCUGGAGAACUGAGGGGGGCUGCUCCUAGUACGAGAGGACCGGAGUGGACGCAUCACUGGUGUUCGGGUUGUCAUGCCAAUGGCACUGCCCGGUAGCUAAAUGCGGAAGAGAUA